UUUCAUCGAACGAAGGCUUAAGAUGUCUCACACGUGUGCCAGUUUCAAGAUUCAGGUAUAUUCCAACUUCCGAAGGGGCCUUCCGCUUCUCGUUUCGUUCCCCCUUCUCCGCCUCCUUUCUCUCUUUGGUUCGGCGAGGGCGGCGGCGAAGGCGAAGGCGGAGGAGGAGCCCGAGGAGCGGCGGCUGCGGAGAUCGAACUACAAGGUUACGGCUCUCAAGUCGGUCGACGUUAGCCACUCGUGCGUCGGCCCCCUUCACCAGCCCCCUCAUCAUCAUCGAGUAAUAUUCUUGCUUUCCAAAUAUCCUCUAUCGUUUUCGAUCUUGGUUUUAGGGUUUUACGGCUCGUAAUUGGAUCUUUCUAUCGUUUUCUUGGAGAUUCUCUCGCUCUAAGGUUUCGUUUGGGCUGAAAGGCUCCCUUCUUGUUAGGACGGAACCCUGUGUCUGUGAGUUCUUGACUUUCUUGGUUUUAAUUUUUUGGUGUGAGUGGAGUGACGUUCUUGCUUCCUAAAUAUUUUGACAACUACGCGCACAACGGAUUGGAUUAUAUUGCUUAUAUGGUUAGAGCGGACUAUCGUAGGCUAAAUUUAGAUUGUUGCUGUCAUUUAUUGUUCUUGAUUGAUAUUUAUGUAUCUUUUUUGCAUUUUUUUUUAGUAAAUGCACACACAUCAAGAUCCAUUUGCUUGCUUCUUGUGGACAGCAGGUAUUAGGAUCAUAUAUUUUUCUAUGAUCCUUAUCCAUCAAUUUAGGUUGUUUCUUUCAUUUUUUUUUUCCUUUGAGUGAUGCUUAUGCAUCUCUUUGCAUCAGAGAAAAGAGUUACAUCGAUUUUGUAACCAGGCAUCUUGCCUUUUUGUUUUCGGUAAAUGCACAUGCAUUGAGAUCCAUUUAUUUACUCCGCAAGGACUGCAGGUAAAAGAUUAUAAUUGUUCUUAGAUUAUUAUCCAUUUUUUUCUCUGUCUAGUUGACUGUUGAUGCAACUGGAAGUUCUUUUUUGUGGCACAUUUAACAAAGAAUAUUAAGCUCUUGGAGUGCCCAAAGUACAAACUAUUAAUAGUUUCCAUUGAGAUCCAUUUUUUGUUCACCGCUUUUCUAAAAUAGGAGAGCUGUGGAAAAUAGUUAAUCUUCCAUACAUUUAGAAACCCAAACAUCAAAAGAUUUUUGUUGGAAAUCAUGUUUGGGUAUUCUCUUAUCAUGUCUGGAUUUGAUUGGUCAUUGUUGUUGUCAUGUUUGAGUUGAAGGAUAUUUUGCUUUUUUGGACAUGCUAUUGAAGCAUUUAUUGCUCUAGGAAAUUUGUCAAGAUGGUUUGGCAUCUUUAUCUAGAAUACAUUGGACCAAAGGGAAAAUAUUUAGGAAAUUUAAUUGAAUGUGGAAAAUGAUUUGACCAAAACAUAUGGUAUAAAACGAGCUCCAUCACAUACCUAUGGAUUGUUAUCAUUGUUACCGCCCAUUUGUCUUUAGAUGGUGACAACAAAAUUGGGCGCCUGAGUCUAUGUUUUCUCUAUAUUUAAUACCAUUAAUACCAAGGCCAAUACAAUUUGUUUAUGUAUGUUAACAGAUAAUAAUAAUUGUGUUUUGAAAAUGCUAAGAACUUCACUUUAUUUUUUGGCCAUUGUCUUAUUAGUAGCCGGAUUAAUGUGUUAUUCCCUUUUCUCACUGUCUCCUAACAAAACAUGGUUCAGCUCCAUUUGGUUGGCUUGAUUUAUAUGCUAUGCUUGUUUGGUAUUCCAUAAAUCAGAAAAUCCAUAGUUAGCUUCUUGUCAAAUCUACAUGUUAGAACUAGUCUUUUGUCAACUUUGCCCAAGUUGGAUGUACCUGUAUAGGCAAGAAUUGCAACACUUGAACUUUUUCUUCCUCAUGCGAGUCUUUAUACUCCCAUGCAUUUUCUAUAUGAAAUCUUUUCUUAGUUCUUGGUUUCUUACAUAUAUGUGCACAUCUUUAUAGGGUGAACCUUAAGACUGUGGAGAGGUAUUAAUCUUAAUCUUGGGAUGCUGAGACAUCAAAGCUCAUCGCAAGGUAAAGAAAUUAUGAUUAUGCUUUUUUAGUUUUAUGAGAAAGUGAAAAAAUCAAUUAGAGUAAAAAGUUAGUCCAAGAAUAAAAGGUUAUGUUAGCAACUUGGAAUACAAGUACACUUUAAGGGAAUGGAUUAGAAUUGAUGGACACUAUGAUAAGAAGAAGAAUAAAUAUUAUUUGCUUAUAGGAGACUAAAUGGAUAGGAAAAAAAUCUAGAGAGAUUGAUAGUACUGGAUUUAAAAUUUGAUAUACUGAAAUAGUGAAACACAAGAUGACAUAGGAAUUGUUGUCGAUAAGGUUCUUAAGAACAAUGUUAUAGAUGUAAAAAGGUUUGGAGAUAAAAUUAUUGUUCUAAAAUUUAUAAAGGAACGAGAUUUUGUGAAUGUCAUUAAUGCUUAUUCCUCUUAAGUGAGAUUGAAUAGUCAAACCAAAAGAGAAUUUUGGAAACUUAGAUAAUAUCAUUUAAGGAAUAUUUAUAACAAAACAUUUUAUAGUUGGAGGAGAUUUGAAUGAUCUUGUAGGGAAAACAUAUGGUAAAUAUAAAGAGGUAUAUAGGGGCUUUAGUUAUAGGGAGAGAAAUGAAAAUGAUGAUAUGAUUUUAGAUUUUGAAACUUUGUUUGAUCUUAUAAUUGUAAAUACUCACUUUAAGAAGAGAGAAACAUUUGAUUACUUAUAAGAAUGAUCACAAUUGUAGUCAAAUACAGACUUAUUUCUUUACGGCUUUAUUGUUGUUAUUAUAGAAGGUGAAAAAAACCAUGUUUGGUACUUUCAUCUAGAUAGAUUGAUCUACAUGGUCAUAUAAUGUUUUCCUUGAUCAGAUUUUUUUUCUUUUGUAGUGAGUAUUUUAAUGCUCAAGAGGAACAUGCAAUUUUGAAAAUAAUGAGGCUGUCAUUUUUAAUCUUAUUAUACACCAUAUGUAAUUCCACUUAGAAUCUCUGUGAAUGAAAUUGUGAAGAUUUUGGUAGAGAAGGCCGCCAUUGAGCUUUGUGUCUAGAUGGUGUCUAUCUCUAGAUCCAACUGCUUAUAUGAAUGCAUAGGUACAUAGAUAGUGUGUCUCUCUCGAUCCAAAUGCUUAUAUGAAUCGAUGGAUGUGUAUGUAUACACAUACAACUUUGUGCACAUAUGAUGAAAUUUUUAAUCUUGUUUCUAAAAUAACUGUUCCUUAUGUGUCUCAUGUAUGUGUGCAUGUAUCACACUGAAUAGUUCAAUCAUGAGACCCUAUAAUUUUGAAGUCAGUAGAGAAUGAACACUCCAUAUGUUACAGUUCAUCACAUUGAUCUUUUACCUUUUCAAACCAAUUUCCCGAUAUGAAAAAAUGACAUGUAUAUAUUUUUGAGUGUUCUAUCAGUUACUCAUGUUAAAUUUAAGAAACUAUAUAUUUUUGAGUUUCAUGUAGGUCUCAUGCUGAUGUUUCUUUCCAAGUAUUCAGACCAGUCUCCUCUUUCUUUUGAGACAUUAAUCAUGUGUUUAAUUAUUCCCAUAUGUUUCCCAGCAAUGGAAUCUUUAGAUGAAUACACGAGAAAUAGAAAAAAGAGCUUCCAGUUUUCUAUUAGAUGCUUGAUAAUAAACGUUCCUUUGUGGUUGAGAGAUGACAUAAUAUAAGCAAUCGGUUAUUAGUUUUAACUGCUUGCAUGAUCAAUGACAUGAGUUAGUUUUUUUGUACACCAAUGGGCAUAAAGACUUACACAGAUGCAUUUGGUCAUUCCAUGAAAGUCAAAAAGGU
rnacentral:lncRNA from 1 species